rnacentral:rRNA from 1 species
ACUCCUACGGGAGGCAGCAGUGAGGAAUAUUGGACAAUGGGCGCAAGCCUGAUCCAGCAAUGCCGCGUGUGUGAAGAAGGCCUGCGGGUUGUAAAGCACUCUCGGUAGGAAAGAAAAGGCCGUCGCUAAUACCGACGGUUCUUGACGUUACCUACAGAAGAAGCACCGGCUAAUUCCGUGCCAGCAGCCGCGGUAAU